GGGGCUGACAAGGCUUCGACAGGAAAGCUUUGGCUUUGGGCUGCAUGCCGGCUUGGAUAUGCCGUAAAUCUAUCCGCUAAAUAUAGACGCAAACAACGCGAACUAUCGUCCCGCUUACGCCUACGCGGCGUAAUGGACAGGCUUGCCUCGCCCGCCGCGAGCGGGGUUAUGCCUUCAACCGCAGCGGCUUGAAGCACGUUUUUGGCAAGACGCGCCUGACAUUAGCCUGCGUUUUUUGAGGGGUUUGCCCGUUUGGCGCUUCAAAAGACAAAGAUAAUCAACGGGAGCUAAGCAUGUAGAGGCCUGGAGAACGGCUUUUUUGGACAGGGGUUCAAUUCCCCUCAGCUCCACCA
rnacentral:tmRNA from 1 species